rnacentral:rRNA from 1 species
AGUGAACGCUGGCGGUAGGCCUAACACAUGCAAGUCGAACGGCAGCACAGUAAGAGCUUGCUCUUACGGGUGGCGAGUGGCGGACGGGUGAGGAAUACAUCGGAAUCUACUUUUUCGUGGGGGAUAACGUAGGGAAACUUACGCUAAUACCGCAUACGACCUACGGGUGAAAGCAGGGGAUCUUCGGACCUUGCGCGAUUGAAUGAGCCGAUGUCGGAUUAGCUAGUUGGCGGGGUAAAGGCCCACCAAGGCGACGAUCCGUAGCUGGUCUGAGAGGAUGAUCAGCCACACUGGAACUGAGACACGGUCCAGACUCCUACGAGAGGCAGCAGUUGGGAAUAUUGGACAAUGGGCGCAAGCCUGAUCCAGCCAUACCGCGUGGGUGAAGAAGGCCUUCGGGUUGUAAAGCCCUUUUGUUGGGAAAGAAAAGCAGCAGGUUAAUACCCCGCUGUUCUGACGGUACCCAAAGAAUAAGCACCGGCUAACUUCGUG